GAUGAACGCUAGCGGCAGGCUUAAUACAUGCAAGUCGUGGGGCAGCAGGGGUGUAGCAAUACACUCGCUGGCGACCGGCAAACGGGUGCGGAACACGUACAGAACCUUCCUUCGAGCGGGGAAUAGCCCAGAGAAAUUUGGAUUAAUACCCCAUAGUAUAUUGGAGUGGCAUCACUUUAAUAUUAAAGAUUUAUCACUUG
rnacentral:rRNA from 1 species